AUUGAACGCUGGCGGCAGGCCUAACACAUGCAAGUCGAGCGGAUGAAGGGAGCUUGCUCCUGGAUUCAGCGGCGGACGGGUGAGUAAUGCCUAGGAAUCUGCCUGGUAGUGGGGGAUAACGUCCGGAAACGGGCGCUAAUACCGCAUACGCCCUGAGGGAGAAAGUGGGGGAUCUUCGGACCUCACGCUAUCAGAUGAGCCUAGGUCGGAUUAGCUAGUUGGUGGGGUAAAGGCCUACCAAGGCGACGAUCCGUAACUGGUCUGAGAGGAUGAUCAGCCACACUGGAACUGAGACACGGUCCAGACUCCUACGGGAGGCAGCAGUGGGGAAUAUUGGACAAUGGGCGAAAGCCUGAUCCAGCCAUGCCGCGUGUGUGAAGAAGGUCUUCGGAUUGUAAAGCACUUUAAGUUGGGAGGAAGGGCAGUAAGUUAAUACCUUGCUGUUUUGACGUUACCAACAGAAUAAGCACCGGCUAACUUCGUG
rnacentral:rRNA from 1 species